rnacentral:rRNA from 1 species
UACGGAGGGUGCGAGCGUUGUCCGGAAUCACUGGGCGUAAAGGGCGCGUAGGCGGCAUGCCAAGCGUGUGGUGAAAGCCCGGGGCUCAACCCCGGGUCGGCCGUGCGGACUGGCGUGCUCGAGCACUGUAGGGGCGGGUGGAAUUCCGGGUGUAGCGGUGGAAUGCGUAGAGAUCCGGAAGAACACCGGUGGCGAAGGCGGCCCGCUGGGCAGGAAGGCUCGCGAGAGCCGGCUGACGCUGAGGCGCGACAGCGUGGGGAGCAAACAGG